rnacentral:tRNA from 1 species
AUCAGAGUAGCUCAGCGGAAGCGUGGUGGGAUCAUAACCCAUAGGUCCUAAGAUCGAAGCCUCACUUUGAUA